UACGUAGGUCCCGAGCGUUGUCCGGAUUUAUUGGGCGUAAAGCGAGCGCAGGUGGUUUAUUAAGUCUGGUGUAAAAGGCAGGGCUCAACCAUUGUAUGCAUUGGAAACUGGUAGACUUGAGUGCAGGAGAGGAGAGUGGAAUUCCAUGUGUAGCGGUGAAAUGCGUAGAUAUAUGGAGGAACACCGGUGGCGAAAGCGGCUCUCUGGCCUGUAACUGACACUGAGGCACGAAAGCGUGGGGAGCAAACAGG
rnacentral:rRNA from 1 species